AAUGGGAGUGAAAAGGUUAUGUUCAGGUGUUCUAGUAGCAUAAUUUGCAUUUCAAACCCAUUGUUGCUUGUGCUUUUACAGGUUCUUGGCAAGAGAACACAGUGAACCUUCCACCGGUUUGGAACGCAUCCUUACUAGUAACCAGAUACCCUUUUAAGGUCUUUGCUUGCCCACAGGUAUCCCUGCGGAGAGGAACCAGUCUCUUCCUAGCUUUACGCUUGGAGUUCUGCAGGUACGCAGGUAGUGUCGAUGGAUCCCAAAACAAUACAAGUGACCAAGGGAAUUUGCAGGUGUAUGGGUUAAAUAAGACACAAACAAAAUUUCCACAGUGUGUUUUUCAGAUUCACUUCAGGACAUGACGGUGAGUCUGUCAAUAGUAGUUCAUGUGAGACCC